GUUGGGGAUUUAGCUCAGUGGUAGAGCACUUGCCUGGCAAGCAAAAGGCCCUGGGUUCGAUCCUCAGCUUCAAAA